rnacentral:rRNA from 1 species
AAGCUUCUACACCUAAACUUAAUUUUAAUCCAACAUCGAGGUCGCAAUCUUCUUAUUUGAUAAGAACUCUAAAAAGAAAUUACGCUGUUAUCCCCAAGGUAACUUUAUUUAAAUUUAAUAAUUUAGAUUUUAAAUUCAUAAAUCAAUGAUUUUAUAUUUAAAGAAUUUAUUUAAUCUUUAAGUUACCCCAACCAAUUUUUUGUUUAUAAAAUUAUUCUAAAAAUAAAAUAAAAAUCAAACUCUAUGGGGUCUUCUCGUCUUUUAAAUUCAAUUAAGCCUUUUAACUUAAAGGUUAAAUUAAUAAACAAUUAAAAAGAGACAGAAAUUUUCUUGUCAAAUCAUUCAUACAAGUUCCUAAUUAAGAAACUAAUUAUCACGCUACCUUCGCACAGUUAAAAUACUGCAGCUAUUUAAUUUUCAUUGAGCAGAUUAGACCUUAAAUCAUUCUCAAAAAGAC